CCCUGUCUUGCGUUCCUGUGUUUUCUAAUGCACGCCCGAGGUCAAAGAGACUUUGAUUUGGCAGAUGCCCUUGAUGACCCUGAACCCACCAAGAAGCCAAACUCAGCUUUGUCCAGUGGCUGUAGCGGUCCCGUUGCUGCGGUGAGCUGGCUGCGUUGAUGGGCGAGUUACAGCUUUCAGUGCAAAGGAAGGAAGAGCUUCUCCGGAGAGCGGGAAUAUUCUCUUGCACAGCUGGACUGUAAUCAUCGCUGUUGAAUACGCUUAACAUAGCAGAAGCAUAUGAUUGCAUUGUCAAAAACAAGGAGAGUGCGACAAAAUUG
rnacentral:lncRNA from 1 species